rnacentral:rRNA from 1 species
UACGGAGGGUGCAAGCGUUAUCCGGAUUCACUGGGUUUAAAGGGUGCGUAGGCGGGCAGGUAAGUCAGAGGUGAAAUCUCCGGCUUAACCCGGAAACUGCCUUUGAUACUAUCUGUCUUGAAUAUGGUGGAGGUAAGCGGAAUAUGUCAUGUAGCGGUGAAAUGCUUAGAGAUGACAUAGAACACCUAUUGCGAAGGCAGCUUACUACGCCUAUAUUGACGCUGAGGCACGAAAGCGUGGGGGAUCAAACAGG